GGGGGAAGUAAAAGUCGUAACAAGGUCUCCGUUGGUGAACCAGCGGAGGGAUCAUUACCGAGUUUAC
rnacentral:rRNA from 1 species